rnacentral:rRNA from 1 species
CAAUAGCGUAUAUUAAAGUUGUUGCAGUUAAAAAGCUCGUAGUUGGAUUUGUGGCGUACGGUGUGUUCCGGGCACUUGUUGUCUGAGUAACCUGCUGUUGCCAUCCUUGGGUGGAACCUGUGUGGCAUUAGGUUGUCGUGCAGGGGAUGCCCAUCAUUUACUGUGAAAAAAUUAGAGUGUUCAAAGCAGGCUUAUGCCGUUGAAUAUAUUAGCAUGGAAUAAUGAGAUAGGACUUUUUUGCUAUUUUGUUGGUUUGCGCAAAGAGGUAAUGAUUAAUAGGGACAGUUGGGGAUAUUCGUAUUCCAUUGUCAGAGGUGAAAUUCUUGGAUUUUUGGAAGACGAACUACUGCGAAAGCAUUUACCAAGGAUGUUUUCAUUAA